UACGUAGGGUGCAAGCGUUGUCCGGAAUUACUGGGCGUAAAGGGCGCGUAGGCGGCCUGCUAAGUCGAACGUGAAAUCCCUGGGCUCAACCCAGGAACUGCGUCCGAUACUGGUUGGCUUGAAUCCGGGAGAGGGAUGUGGAAUUCCAGGUGUAGCGGUGAAAUGCGUAGAUAUCUGGAGGAACACCGGUGGCGAAGGCGACAUCCUGGACCGGUAUUGACGCUGAGGCGCGAAAGCCAGGG
rnacentral:rRNA from 1 species